UUGAAUUUCUCCCUGCAUUCCAGUUAGAACGGAAGCUCUCUCGUAAUAAUUGUUCGUAAUAAAUUCUUUUUAGAGGGUAUCUUUUGACAGCGCAAAAUGUAUGGAAUAUUACGUAAAUAAUGACAUCAUAAAGCGUAUUUACCCUGAAACGCCAAUUAUUAUGUCAUUAAUGGCGUAAUCUGAAUAGGCUAUAAGUUAAUGCUCGAUUAAUCAAUCGAAAUUCAAGUUGAGUUGAAGUAGGAUGCUAUCCAAAGAAAAACUUAAACUAACCGACACCGGCACUCGAGCCGCGGAUGUUGCUGCAUCGCUUCAAUUGACGAAGAUGGUUUAACUCGAGGAUUAACCAAAUGGCCUCCUCGAACACUCAUCCGGAUGUGAGCGCCUCACUGGAUUUGGAAUGUGGCUACAGUGCCUUCCGUGUCGGUGCCAUUUUCCGGAUGCGAAAAUAAUAUGGCAAAAGCAAGUGCCACACCGAGACCGCACGCAUUUAUAUUGAUGAUACUGAUAAUGGCAGCAGCGAGGGCAGCGGAACAGGAAAACGU